rnacentral:lncRNA from 1 species
CUCAGGAACCUAUCUGCACUUAUAUUAGUCACUUGUUAUAAAAACUGUUGUUAAGACUGAGGCUCUAAAGGUUUCUGGUGAUUUGUCUUCAGUGACACGUGCAUUUUUGAGCUGUGGCAUUUAGGUCUCCUGACUCAUAUUGAGUUGCCCAAUAUUAAAAACAUAACUCAAAAGGUCCAAAGGAACUUCCUUUACAUACAUCCACAUUCAUUCCCACAUCCCCUAAUACACAUGCAUUCAUACACCAAAAAUAUUUUCUACUCACUUGAAGGAAAUAAUUACUAUGGUGGGAAACAAAGUCCAUUAUUCUUCAAUUAGAAAACAAAACAAAACAAAACAAAAACAAACUUAGAAUAGUUUGAAUGAGGUAAAUACAUUGGCAAAUUAAUUCACACUAAUGUGUAAAUGACUACCACUUGAGUAUUUUCUAAUAAUGGGAUUUGCCAAAAGGAUCCUGGGGCCGUUUAGUGGAGAAAAGUUUUACCAACAAGUCACUGAAGAUGCUGAAAAGCAAACAUCCCCACAUUGCACUGUACAACAAAUGAACUCCCACCAGGGGGUCUCAGAAUGCAGCCUGCUGUUUUCAGGACCUCUGAGCCACAUUUCCUUGGGCCACAUCUAUACUUGCCUGGUACUGGCAGAGAACUACAAGAGAACCUAUUGACA